rnacentral:misc_RNA from 1 species
UAUUUUGUUUUUUUUUUUACAUUAAUUUCCCAGAUUCGAAUGAUUGAUUUAUGCUUAAUUUUUUUGAAAUUCAUAGUCCACACAUCCAAUCGACACAUGGCUUUGGAGAUCUUCCACCUCUCUCGUAGAGAAAAUAUUGCUUUCUUCCUUUCAAGAGCUUUUGUUUAGAAAUAUAUGAGUCUCACAAGGAGCCAUGAUUUGGUAUAUCCUCUUGCAACAUAUUUAAUG